CUUCAGAACUUAGAAAAUCGGGUCCCUUCUUGAUGUUCAGAGCAGUAAGGACCCGGAAGGGCUUCGCAUAUUUUAUUAUCUGGUUCAGGCCAACCCAACAGCCCCAAUCUACAGGCCCAGACCCGGAACCCAGCUCAAUGCAAGCCCAACCCAAAUUGACCCAGCAGAACUAGGGCUUCAUCUUCUUUGCUCCAACGCCGCCUCACUCCUGACCAUUGGAUCUGGAACCAUUCAACAGUCCAGAUCACACAGAGCCUAGGGUUUCACCCUAAAUGUAUCAACAGCCAACCGCACCGCCGAGCCAUCGGAGCCGAUUAGAACACAUCAUCAAUAGUGACCCUCAACAGUGAGAUAGCAGAGAAAUCAGUGAAAAAUUAGAAGAAGAAAAAUCCAAGCAAAUCUCAUCAAAUCCAAGAGAUGGCAGCAUGAGUAUAGGGAUAUCAUUCCCUACGAACUCAACCAUCCAUCAGUCAGAAGAUAUCAACACAUGCAACAUAAAAAGAAAGGAGGAGACAAAGAGAAGACCAUUCGGGUGAAAAGAAAAAAACAGAAAGUGAUUCGAACCAGAGAAAGACAGAGAAAAAGAGAGGCGAGGGGUGAGAGUUUACCUUCCUUGAGCCCUCAUCGGAGUCACGAAACGUCGGGUUUCGGUUGAGGGACUGUUUUCGUGGCCAAGAGGGUUGGCUACGGGGUUCGUCGAGCUUUUCGAGGCUCGGUUGAAUUAGGUCGAAGAGAAGAAAGGAGAAGUGGGUUCCGUUUUGGGUUGAAGUGGGGAGUAGAGGUUUCGUUCCGGCCACCGUUUUGGUGAAAUACGGUGGUCGUUGGCCAGUUAUGGAUAGUUUGGGGCUCUCGGCCGCCGUAUAGGUUGAGAGAGUUCUCAUCUCUCAAAGAGGAAGAGGGAGAGAAAUGAGAUAAGAAUGGGGGCAUGAUUGGUUUAGGGUUUAUUAUGAGUUAUUUAUAUAUAUAUUACAAAAUGAUGUCGUUUCAAAGAUGAGGGACCGCGCGUUUUGAGGAAAAGGGGUAAAUCACAGUUUAGGUCCCCUUUUCUUUUGUAAUGUUUCGUUUAAACUAUUAAAUGAAAUUUAUUUUAUUUUGA